rnacentral:rRNA from 1 species
GGUAACCUGCCUGUAAGACUGGGAUAACUCCGGGAAACCGGGGCUAAUACCGGAUGCUUGAUUGAACCGCAUGGUUCAAUUAUAAAAGGUGGCUUUUAGCUACCACUUACAGAUGGACCCGCGGCGCAUUAGCUAGUUGGUGAGGUAACGGCUCACCAAGGCAACGAUGCGUAGCCGACCUGAGAGGGUGAUCGGCCACACUGGGACUGAGACACGGCCCAGACUCCUACGGGAGGCAGCAGUAGGGAAUCUUCCGCAAUGGACGAAAGUCUGACGGAGCAACGCCGCGUGAGUGAUGAAGGUUUUCGGAUCGUAAAACUCUGUUGUUAGGGAAGAACAAGUACCGUUCGAAUAGGGCGGUACCUUGACGGUACCUAACCAGAAAGCCACGGCUAACUACGUGCCAGCAGCCGCGGUAAUACGUAGGUGGCAAGCGUUGUCCGGAAUUAUUGGGCGUAAAGCGCGCGCAGGCGGUUUCUUAAGUCUGAUGUGAAAGCCCCCGGCUCAACCGGGGAGGGUCAUUGGAAACUGGGGAACUUGAGUGCAGAAGAGGAGAGUGGAAUUCCACGUGUAGCGGUGAAAUGCGUAGAGAUGUGGAGGAACACCAGUGGCGAAGGCGACUCUCUGGUCUGUAACUGACGCUGAGGCGCGAAAGCGUGGGGAGCGAACAGGAUUAGAUACCCUGGUAGUCCACGCCGUAAACGAUGAGUGCUAAGUGUUAGAGGGUUUCCGCCCUUUAGUGCUGCAGCAAACGCAUUAAGGCACUCCGCCUGGGGGAGUACGGUCGCAAGACUGAAACUCAAAGGAAUUGACGGGGGCCCGCACAAGCGGUGGGAGCAUGUGGUUAAUUCGAAGCACGCGAAGAACCUUACCAGGUCUUGACAUCUCCUGACACCCUAGAGAUAGGGCUUCCCUUCGGGGGCAAGAGGGACAGGUGGUGCAUGGUUGUCGUCAGCUCGUGUCGUGAGAAUGUGA